UGGCUGAACCCCAAAGGUGAGCGCAACUAGGACAGCACAAUGAAGGGGCAGAAUGGUGCAUUCCAGAAAAUCAGCUGCACCCUAGGCUGGCUGAAUCCAAGAAGAAAAUGUUACGUAUAGAGCAAAAUAGAUAGAUGGAGUAUCCUUCAUGCAACCCUCCCUAGAUGUUAGUAUCUUCAAACCAAGCCUUUGAAGAAUGUUGAACAAUGUCCCACAAUUCUCUUCCUCCAUAUCACUUGGGGAGCUCUUUAAAAAUGCAUUUCUUAAGCAUCACCCUGGGUCUCACACAGCAGAAUCUCUGAGGGGAAAGCCUUUUUUGGCUGGCUUUGGCACUUCUUAACAGCCAAAGAGAGAAAGUGACCCUUCGCAAGAGGCAGAAAACCUUUCAAGUUGGGCCCGCAUGUCACAUUGUUUUAAGGACACAUUUUUCACACCAUGACUCAGGGCCUCUGAGAGUGAGGAGCCUCAUCGUGACACGGGGAAAUCCACGGGAGAGGAAGGUGCCCAAGGUCACGAGACGAGGCGGCCCAGCGCAGGGGCAAUAGCUCAGUCGGGGAAGUAGCAUGGGGGCUUGGAAGCGUCAUUGGCUCUUCACCUGCCUGCUAUUACGGGUGCAAUGACACCGUGGGACACUGCGAUUUAUCAGAAGAAAAUAGCCUGGUAACAGGAGCAGAACUAGACCUCAUUAAGAUGAAACAGUGUCUGAUAUCCUUGAGUCAGACAAAAGAGAAUAUGAAAUUGAUGUGGUCAGCGUCGCUGCCACGCUGCAUUUGAAAAGAAUCAAACCAAGUGGCAAUUGACAGCGCUUCGGGAGGGAGAGACCCACAAAUGAAACAGAAGCAUGUUGAAUGUAAACCUCUCGUCUUAAAAUGCAUUAAAAAUAUGACUUUCCCAUUUGA